rnacentral:rRNA from 1 species
UGCUUGGGAAUAUGCCUUAAGGUGGGGGACAACAGUUGGAAACGACUGCUAAUACCGCAUAAUGUCUACGGACCAAAGAGGGGGACCUUCGGGCCUCUUGCCUUUUGAUUAGCCCAAGUGAGAUUAGCUAGUAGGUGAGGUAAAGGCUCACCUAGGCGACGAUCUCUAGCUGGUUUGAGAGGAUGAUCAGCCACACUGGGACUGAGACACGGCCCAGACUCCUACGGGAGGCAGCAGUGGGGAAUAUUGCACAAUGGGCGCAAGCCUGAUGCAGCCAUGCCGCGUGUGUGAAGAAGGCCU